AAGAAGAGUCUCGUCAACAAAACAAACAAUAAUGAUACGUACAUAGAACAAGUAAACAACAUAUGCAUAGCAUCUAGGCAUGUAAACAUUUCUAAAACGUCUAGGAGGUGUACAACAAAAUUUUAGAUAAUACAAAAGCAUUUAAGUUGAUUCUGAGAAUCAUCAGAAUCCAAAAGCAUCUAAGUCGAUGUUUCUCCGAAUCAACUUUUAAGCAGGUCUAAAAGCUAUAUUUUUUUGCCGUCAAGAAGAAUCGGAAGUUAUGGGAAACACAUUGGCAAAACCUCCAAGAGGCCAGAAUCUAAAAUCACCCCACACAAAAGCUAUUGCAGAUUCCCCCUAACUUACUCCAGAAAAUUCCAACAUCUGUACUGAAUAAAAAAACCACACCUUCAGUUCAUUAAUCUUCUCCUGCAAACUAUCGCUUGACUCCUUGAGUUUCUGGGCCUCAUCCCUUAGCUGCGUCAAUGUCUGAACAGCAUCACUCAAUAUAACAGCCUUGUCCACUUUGGGUUUCCUUCCCGGCUCCAGGAUCAAGCUUAACUCUAGGAACCUUGAGACAUGCCAAAGUCCAACAAUUUAUUGACAACCAUGCACAGCACACAUAUACAGCACACGACUCGUGCAAAGAGAUAGAAAGAGAGAGAUGGAGAGUGCAUGCCUUUCAUUCAGCCUAUCCCUUCGCAUUUUCUCCCUACAUGCUUUGGAAUCAGAUGAACUGCAUGAUUCGGGCCUCAUCCUGCAAUCCGAUUUUCAGUAAUCUCAGGGUAAAACAAACCAAAAAAGGCUGGAGCAAGGAGAUCUGAAGUAAUGGAGAUCCAAUGUAGAAGUGGUAAAAACAAGAAUGUUCAGUAGGAAGAAAAAGAACGAUAAACCCCCAUCAGAAAUCAUGAGUAAUCAGUUGCGGAAAAUGAAGGUUCUCAGACCAAGCAAAACUUUUCCUUUAACUGAAUAAUAAUA